rnacentral:rRNA from 1 species
GGAGGAAAGCAGGGGAUCGCAAGACCUUGCGCUCAUUGAGCGGCCGAUGCCUGAUUAGCUAGUUGGUGAGGUAAAGGCUUACCAAGGCGACGAUCAGUAGCUGGUCUGAGAGGACGACCAGCCACACUGGGACUGAGACACGGCCCAGACUCCUACGGGAGGCAGCAGUGGGGAAUUUUGGACAAUGGGGGAAACCCUGAUCCAGCCAUGCCGCGUGAGUGAAGAAGGCCUUCGGGUUGUAAAGCUCUUUCAGCCGGAACGAAACAGUCACGGAUAAUACCCGUGACUACUGACGGUACCGGAAGAAGAAGCACCGGCUAACUACGUGCCAGCAGCCGCGGUAAUACGUAGGGUGCGAGCGUUAAUCGGAAUUACUGGGCGUAAAGCGUGCGCAGGCGGUUUUGUAAGUCAGAAGGGAAAUCCCCGGGCUUAACCUGGGAACUGCGUUUAAAAUGGAAAGCUAGAAGGGC